rnacentral:rRNA from 1 species
AGUCAUAUGCUUGUCUCAAAGAUUAAGCCAUGCAUGUCUAAGUACAAGCCGAUUUAAGGUGAAACCGCGAAUGGCUCAUUAAAUCAGCUAUGAUUCAUUGGAUCUUUACUCACCCUACUUGGAUAACUGUGGUAAUUCUAGAGCUAAUACAUGCACCUAGUCUCUGACCGCAAGGGAAGAGCGCUUUUAUUAGACAAAAACCGGUCGGGCUUCGGUCCGGAAUCCGACUGUGUUGACUCUGGAUAACUUUGUGCUGAGCGCACGGUCUCCGCACCGGCGCCGCCUCUUUCAAGUGUCUGCCUUAUCAGCUUUCGAUUGUAGGUUACACGCCUACAAUGGCUAUAACGGGUAACGGGGAAUCAGGGUUCGAUUCCGGAGAGGGAGCCUGAGAAACGGCUACCACAUCUAAGGAAGGCAGCAGGCACGCAAAUUACCCACUCCCGGCACGGGGAGGUAGUGACGAAAAAUAACGAUGCGAGACUCAUCCGAGGCCUCGCAAUCGGAAUGAGUUCACUUUAAAUCCGUUUGCGAGGAUCUAUUGGAGGGCAAGUCUGGUGCCAGCAGCCGCUUUCAGUUNUGGACUGACGGUUCACCGCCCGGUGCACACUGUCACGCUCCGAACAGCGCAAAAACCCGCUGGCUCGCACGGGGUGCUCUUCACCGAGUGUCCCGCGUGGCCGGCAGAGUUUACUUUGAAAAAAUUAGAGUGCUCAAAGCAGGCUACAUUUACGGCCUGAAUGCCUAUGCAUGGAAUAAUGGAAUAGGACCUCGGUUCUAUUUUGUCGGUUUUCUGAACCCGAGGUAAUGACUAAUAGGAACAGGCGGGGGCAUUCGUAUUGCGACGCUAGAGGUGAAAUUCUUGGACCGUCGCAAGACGAACUACUGCGAAAGCAUUUGCCAAGGAUGUUUUCAUUAAUCAAGAACGAAAGUUAGAGGUUCGAAGGCGAUCAGAUACCGCCCUAGUUCUAACCAUAAACGAUGCUGACCAGCGAUCCGCCGGCGUUAUUCCCAUGACCCGGCGGGCAGCUUCCGGGAAACCAAAGUCUUUGGGUUCCGGGGGAAGUAUGGUUGCAAAGCUGAAACUUAAAGGAAUUGACGCUGCGGCUUAAUUUGACUCAACACGGGGAACCUCACCAGGCCCAGACACCGGAAGGAUUGACAGAUUGAGAGCUCUUUCUCGAUUCGGUGGGUGGUGGUGCAUGGCCGUUCUUAGGUUAAUUCCGAUAACGAACGAGACUCUGGCCUACUAACUAGUCGACGGAUCUCCAGCAAUUGGUGUCCAGUUCGCAGCUUCUUCUUAGAGGGAUAAGCGGCAACUUUAGCCGCACGAGAUUGAGCAAUAACAGGUCUGUGAUGCCCUUAGAUGUUCUGGGCCGCACGCGCGCUACACUGAAGGGAUCAACGUGUCCUCCCCCUCCGAGAGGAGCGGGUAACCCGUUGAAAUCCUUUCAUGAUAGGGAUUGGGGUUUGCAAUUGUCUCCCAUGAACGAGGAAUUCCCAGUAAGCGCAAGUCAUGAGCUUGCGUUGAUUACGUCCCUGCCCUUUGUACACACCGCCCGUCGCUACUACCGAUUGAAUGAUUUAGUGAGGCCUUCGGACUGGCGCUCUUGGAUGCCGUG